GAUGAACGCUGGCGGCGUGCCUAAUACAUGCAAGUCGAGCGAACAGACGAGGAGCUUGCUCCUCUAACGUUAGCGGCGGACGGGUGAGUAACACGUGGAUAACCUACCUAUAAGACUGGGAUAACUUCGGGAAACCGGAGCUAAUACCGGAUAAUAUAUUGAACCGCAUGGUUCAAUAGUGAAAGACGGUUUUGCUGUCACUUAUAGAUGGAUCCGCGCCGCAUUAGCUAGUUGGUAAGGUAACGGCUUACCAAGGCAACGAUGCGUAGCCGACCUGAGAGGGUGAUCGGCCACACUGGAACUGAGACACGGUCCAGACUCCUACGGGAGGCAGCAGUGGGGAAUCUUCCGCAAAGGGCGAAAGCUUGACGGAGCAACGCCGCGUGAGUGAUGAAGGUCUUCGGAUCGUAAAACUCUGUUAUUAGGGAAGAACAAAUGUGUAAGUAACUAUGCACGUCUUGACGGUACCUAAUCAGAAAGCCACGGCUAACUACGUG
rnacentral:rRNA from 1 species